GCUUGCUGUCUCAUGUAUCGUGGUGAUGUCGUGCCGAAGGAUGUCAAUGCUGCAGUUGCCACCAUCAAGACUAAGCGAACCAUCCAGUUUGUUGACUGGUGCCCAACCGGCUUCAAGUGUGGCAUCAACUACCAGCCACCGACUGUUGUUCCUGGUGGUGAUCUUGCGAAGGUGCAGAGAGCUGUUUGCAUGAUCUCAAACUCCACCAGUGUGGCUGAAGU
rnacentral:misc_RNA from 1 species